GUCAGAUGUGUAUAAGGUACAGGUGAGUCAUCGAAUCUUUGAACGCACAUUGCGCCCUGUGGUAUUCCGCAGGGCAUGCCUGUUCGAGCGUCAGUACAACACUCAAGCUCAGCUUGGUCUUGAGCCUAGCCGGUCACGGUGGGCUUUAAAAUUAGUGGCGGUGCCGCCUGGCUCUAAGCGUAGUAAUACUCCUCGCUAUUGAGUCCUGGUGGACGCUGGCCAGCCAACCCCAACUUUCUAAGUUUGACCUCGGAUCAGGUAGGGAUACCCGCUGAACUUAAGCAUAUCAAUAAGCGGAGG
rnacentral:misc_RNA from 1 species